rnacentral:tRNA from 14 species
GCGGAAGAGCGCUCGACUUAUAAUCGUGUGGUCGUAGGUUCAAAAUCCC